AUUGAACGCUGGCGGCAUGCCUUACACAUGCAAGUCGAACGGUAACAGGUCUUCGGAUGCUGACGAGUGGCGAACGGGUGAGUAAUACAUCGGAACGUGCCCGAGAGUGGGGGAUAACGAGGCGAAAGCUUUGCUAAUACCGCAUACGAUCUCAGGAUGAAAGCAGGGGACCGCAAGGUCUUGCGCUCACGGAGCGGCCGAUGGCAGAUUAGGUAGUUGGUGGGAUAAAAGCUUACCAAGCCGACGAUCUGUAGCUGGUCUGAGAGGACGACCAGCCACACUGGGACUGAGACACGGCCCAGACUCCUACGGGAGGCAGCAGUGGGGAAUUUUGGACAAUGGGCGCAAGCCUGAUCCAGCCAUGCCGCGUGCAGGAUGAAGGCCUUCGGGUUGUAAACUGCUUUUGUACGGAACGAAAAGACUCUGGUUAAUACCUGGGGUCCUUGACGGUACCUAACCAGAAAGCCACGGCUAACUACGUGCCAGCCGCCGCCGUAAGAC
rnacentral:rRNA from 1 species